rnacentral:rRNA from 1 species
UACGUAGGGGGCAAGCGUUAUCCGGAUUUACUGGGUGUAGAGGGAGCGUAGACGGCGAUGCAGGUCUGAAGUGAAAGGCGGGGGCCCAACCCCCGGACUGCUUUGGAAACUGUAUGGCUGGAGUGCAGGAGAGGUAAGUGGAAUUCCUAGUGUAGCGGUGAAAUGCGUAGAUAUUAGGAGGAACACCAGUGGCGAAGGCGGCUUACUGGACUGUAACUGACGUUGAGGCUCGAAAGCGUGGGGAGCAAACAGG